GACAGAGGCCCCGAGCGUUAGUCGGAAUCACUGGGCUUAAAGGGUGCGUAGGCGGGCGUGUAAGUGUCUCGUGAAAGCCCCGGGCUCAACCCGGGAACCGCGGGGCAUACUGCACGUCUCGAGGAAACUAGAGGCCGGUAGAACGAUCGGUGGAGCGGUGGAAUGCGUAGAGAUCGAUCGGAACGCCAAGGGUGAAGACAGCCGGCUGGGGUUUUCCUGACGCUGAGGCACGAAAGCGUGGGGAUCAAACAGG
rnacentral:rRNA from 1 species